CUCCCCAGUGUUUUGUGAUUUUUUUUAUUCACUUUUUGUUGAGAAAAUAUUGAAUGCCAACGUGAUCUUGAGAGGCUGACGGCCAAGAGUGAUACACAGAACAGAGCAUAUCUCCCCCACCCCUUCAUCAAACUCAAGCUCCUUUUUUACACGCGUCUUCAAGACACCCCUUGUACCCCCUCCCCCAUCGCUCUUCUCCACCAUAAUCUUCCGUUGACUUUUUUUCACGAGGAGUCAGUCGCUCACUGUCGCCAAUUCAAUCCCGUGCUCGGUCAAGUCUCACGUUUUGCUUCAAUUUCUAUAAUUUUACCUGUAUUUUUUUCAUCGAACAUAUUUAUUUAUUUAUCACCGGGCCUUUCCCAUCGACUGAUGAUCGAGCUAAAUCAGUGGGGAGUGAGGGGAGGAUAACAACAAGGAUGAGGGGAUACGGGAGGCAGGCGAUUGACUUCUUUGAGAGAUGGUGAUGAAAAAAUUUAUUCGAGGCAUAAAGAAUGCAUUUUGCAGUGGUUGCACAGUGGGAGUUACUGAGGAUGGGGGUCUCGGUGGUGAUGACAGAAGGAAACGAGUACAGAGAGGUCCAUUCAGGGGAAUAUCUCACUGGGUACCAUUUACUGACAUUCAUCACGGGUUAUUGCAUAUUAUAUUUUGAGGGAAAUUGCGGUCAUUCUUUUCAAUGUUUCAUUUAUGUUUGUGGAAUAUCUAGGGUGAAAGAGGAAAUUGUAACAGCAGAAUUUUCAUACAUAUGAAGGUAUUUGGGAAAAUGGAAUUAGUGAGUAGAAAUUAGUUUGUUGCAAUAAUUGAGGGGCGGAUCUUUUCAGGGGAAUCGAAUCUAUUAGAUUUAUUAAUUUUAUUGAAAAUCAUGGUUCCACUGAUGUCACAGGUUCUUUUGUGUCUCGGGAAUAAUUGCCUUUUUGACAGUCUCGGAUGAUAUAAUUACUUUUGUGGCGGAAAUUAAAAGGAAAUAUUACUAAUAAAGUUAUCGUUAGAUAUUAAAUGAUUGUAGGAGAAACCGAAAUUCCUGGAGGGGGAAUUCCACUUGUAUGAAAUUAUUUAGAAUUUCAGAAAAAUGUACAUUAUUUUUUCGAAAAAGGAAUCCAUAAGUGGAGAUUUUUCAUCACGAUUUAUUCGUUAAGAUUUAUUCUAUAACAUUUUGAAGGUUUAAAAUGCAAAAUUUACAUUAGAAUAUUCUCAUAAAUUUGUAAUAAUGUAAUAGUGAGCAUAGUAUACAUUUGAUGGGAAAAUUUGGAGUGAAGAUUUCUCAUAAAAAAUUCCAACAGAUUAAAUUAUACAGAAAAACAAACCAUAUAAGCGAAAAUCAACUGACGAGAGUGGAUAAAUGAACGAGGAAUAAAAUGGUAAAAUGAAUGAAAAGAUGUAGGCGGGUGUUCAAUGGCCAGCCGAGGUCGGUUCAAUGAGGGCCCGGAGUGUCCACUACUUAUUCGUCCCUCACGAUUGGAUUUCUACCUGCGCACAUCUCGUUCAGUAUCCAUGCCAUUCUGGUGACGAUUAAUCCGUCGAUUGUGUCACAGAAUAUUUCUAAUAUUCGCGGAGUGACUGAUCCUGCCCUGUUCCUAAGUACUAGUGCCGCAGGAGUGACUAGACUGGGCUAGAAAUUACCAUGUCUCCUGCUGCUCAAGUGCUUAUCAAUGGGUCGGGACGUGCAUCUGUAAACAAGUGGUUGACGUCGAAUGCUAUCGAGACUUGGAUAUAUUCUUAAAGCGUUACUCACGAAACGAUACGGGCUUAUUUACUGUCACAAAAUAAGGUUUUGUACUUUAAUUUUUUUUAUUGUUAGGAAAUAAAAAAAAUACUGAAGA